rnacentral:rRNA from 1 species
UAGGGAAUCUUCGGCAAUGGGGGGAACCCUGACCGAGCAACGCCGCGUGAGUGAAGAAGGUUUUCGGAUCGUAAAGCUCUGUUGUUAAGGAAGAACGAGUGUGAGAAUGGAAAGUUCAUGCUGUGACGGUACUUAACCAGAAAGGGACGGCUAACUACGUGCCAGCAGCCGCGGUAAUACGUAGGUCCCGAGCGUUGUCCGGAUUUAUUGGGCGUAAAGCGAGCGCAGGCGGCUAGAAAAGUCUGAAGUGAAAGGCAGUGGCUCAACCAUUGUAGGCUUUGGAAACUGUUUAAAUUGAGUGCAGAAGGGGAGAGUGGAAUUCCAUGUGUAGCGGUGAAAUGCGUAGAUAUAUGGAGGAACACCGGUGGCGAAAGCGGCUCUCUGGUCUGUAACUGACGCUGAGGCUCGAAAGCGUGGGGAGCGAACAGG